rnacentral:rRNA from 1 species
UGGGGAAUAUUGCACAAUGGGGGAAACCCUGAUGCAGCGACGCCGCGUGAGCGAAGAAGGUUUUCGAAUCGUAAAGCUCUGUCCUAUGAGAAGAUAAUGACGGUAUCAUAGGAGGAAGCCCCGGCUAAAUACGUGCCAGCAGCCGCGGUAAUACGUAAGGUCCGAGCGUUGUCCGGAAUCAUUGGGCGUAAAGGGUACGUAGGCGGAUAAGCAAGUUAGAAGUGAAAUCCUAUAGCUCAACUAUAGUAAGCUUUUAAAACUGCUCAUCUUGAGGUAUGGAAGGGAAAGUGGAAUUCCUAGUGUAGCGGUGAAAUGCGCAGAUAUUAGGAGGAAUACCGGUGGCGAAGGCGACUUUCUGGCCAUAAACUGACGCUGAGGUACGAAAGCGUGGGUAGCAAACAGG